GUAAGUAUUCUCUUAAAUUCAGAGUAAAAAUAGAACAUUAGGUUAUUCUAGAGCUGACAUUUCAGCCAUGAAGCACUUAAGAUAUGAAAAAGAUGGAUCUGGGGAAAUAAUUUGUCACGAGAAAUAUAAAUUUUAAUCUCCAAAUACUCCAGAACGGUACUGCAGAAUUGGGCAAAUCAGCUACAUAUUGGCAUAACAACACUAAGAAUAGAGAUCUCUACAGAGCUUUGCAAAAAGAGACUUUUCUACAGAUGGAAAAACUUAGACACAGAGUUAAAGUUAGCCCUGUAAAAAAACAGCGGAGGAAAACAAGCAGUUCAAGUGUCUGCUCAUGCGCACGGGCUUGUUUCCUUGUUUUCUUUCCCAGUGUUGACCUUUGGCUGCCCCAAAGUUGUCAGAGCAUCGAUUAGACACUGCAGAGGAGGAAACUGGUGGUGAAGUUGGAAGAUAAACCUCAAAGAGUUUCAGGCAUUCAAGGGAUGAGGCUGACUGAGCUGCUUAAAUACUGGAUGUAUCCAAAAUACAACCAAGGCCGUAAUGGGAUCAAGGUAGCAGCUCAUCACUGGGGACCUUUCAGUUUCCUGCCAUCCAAGACGAGGCGUGGAGCAGAAGACCACCCUCAUCCUCACAGACCCCCGAGCCCAGAGGCAGAUUAAUGAAGAGUGAAGAAGACUUACAGAGCCAGACCGACGCAGUGUUUGUUAGUGGAGAAAGACCUUAGAUGUGUAUGGGUGGGUCUAGUCCCUCUUUCAUCUUCCCCCACGGCAGUCACCAUGUCCAUGUGCUGCCUCGGGAGCCAAGGUCCAGCAAGGAGCAGAGACAACAAAGGGGGUGAAGCUGUUUGCUGCUGUUUUCAAAUUCAGUACUAAAUUAUACUCCACGUUUUAGGUACCAAGCAGGCAAUCUCAACAAAGUUCCUAUCCACUUACUUAGUGUCCCUGACCUAUCAGGGAUGCUGGAGCUCCUUUUGCAGAGGGACCAAUGCACCCACUGUGUAAUUAAGGGCACCACUGAAGUUUAAAAAUAAUCCUAUUGGUGAACAUAGAGAGAGCAGAGUCAGUGGGAGGCCAAAGCAUCCCAAAUCCAUACAGGGAACAGGCCUGCAGAGGUGCUGGCUGCAUGGAGGAGGACAGGUCAGUCCCAGCGCCAACUUAGCUCUGGGCUUCUUGAAGAGCUGCAGUGGGAUUUGUGAGGUGGGAGUCCCACUGUCAUGCUUCAUGCUGGCCACCGACAGCUGUGAAAUGUUAGUUGUCUUUCAGUACGAGCCGGCGUGCAGCUGGGGAGUAUUCCUUACAUCUUGCUCAAAAAAAUCCAAAACAUCUUGGGAGAGGAAUCUGCGUGCAUAGCUGUGCAGGCAGGGAGGAAGGGCUCUGCUCCCUGCCCGUCCUCGGAGCAGCCACCACCCAGCGCCACCUUUCCAGGCAUGGCCACCCUGUCCCAACGGGGCUGGGGCUGCCCUGUGACUCACUGGGCUGGUGGCAGUGUGAUAUCUUUGCCUGGCUUUGCCUGCUUUCCAUUUUGAAAGGGUUUUUCUACAUUAUAGGUGAUGACAUUAUGUCCUAGAGAGCCAAGAGCUGAAGGCAGAUGCAGGCUGGGACUGCUAGUAGUGAAGAAAGUUCAGAAUAACAGCUUUGUAGCUGCAGGCCCUGGGAUUUUAUACAGGGUGUUAGAAACAGUUUGAGGGAAAGAGCAAGCUUUCCUGUGUCUCAAGUGAGAUGCACACCAAAUAUGCGGUUGCUACUACUGAUUUUAGGAAGCAGGUUUUCCAAAGUGAGUGAGUUGUGUGUUCCCACAUAUAUUAUCAGCAGUUAUUUUGUAAUGAACUUUGUUGAAAUUCCCAUAAAAGGCUUACGGUAAUUUUGCUACCUGGCCUCCAAUGCUUCUAAGAGGAGAUGUGCAGACAGAGACACAAAUGAUGGAUGGCAAGAAGAUGGAAUAGGAGCCACCCAGGAACUCUGCAAAGAAACUCCCUUUAAAAUUGAAGGACAAUCAUUUAAAAAGUAUUUUAAUCAGAUUUUUAAAAAAUGGUAAUGCACAUGUGCUGAGGAACUUUCAAAAUCAAGCCAUGUAUUUUGGUAGCUACGGGAGCUUUCAGACCCCUCAUCUAAAAGACCCAACCUUCAUUCUGUAGGUCUGAUGAGUCAAUGUAUUUAAUCUCUAGUCAUAAGGUCACUCAAUUGGACUCCAGAAGACACGUAGCAUUUUUUGAUACACGUGGUCUAUCACCAUAAUUGUUACUUCAACUGAAUACCUUCCAUUGUCAUGCUGUAACAAUCUGUGGGGGCUGAGGUUUUGCAGCUGGCUGCCUUGUUUGAGCUGUCUGGGGCUGGUGCAGCUGAGCUAAACCCAGGCUCUGAUGUUUGUGGUGGAGGAAGAGCUCCCUGAGGAGCCCACCGAUCCCCCAAAGACAGGGUAACUUAGCCCCCAAAGACAGGGCAACUCAGAUUGGAAGACAGUAAUGGAGAUCUGCAGACAAAAUGUAUGUGUCUCCCACCCACCCUCAAAAAAAACCAACAAACAAACAAAUAAUCAAAAAUGCACCAUAAACCUAAACUCCUGCUCUGAAUGGAUUGCUUCAGGUGCUGAGGUAACGCCAGGUGACCGGAUUGUACCCCAAGGGAGCAGUCCCAUGAUGGCAAGGUGAAUCUCUUCUUGGAAGUGCCUCUCUCUUCCUUGACUGCCAGGGAAUCCUAAUAACUUGUUUAGAAUAGACACCUAGUUUUUAGACAGUUUUUUUUUUGGAUUAACUGAGGUGAAUCCACCCUUCAUGCCCAGAUGUGGGACAUACUGGUUUUGGUAGUUACGGCAUGUCUGAUGUCAAGACCUUUGUGGAGAUUUAGGAAUCGUGUCGAUUCACAGUCCAAUAAUUAAAGGGAUUGAAACUCCUAGGAUCUGGAUGCUGCUUCUCAUACCCUUGUCCUACGAACCUUGGAGAAAUCACCCUGGGCAGGAUUUUUAAAGAUACGAAAUCCUAUUGGUUUCAGGUGAUUUGCCAAGCUUGCGGUCAAUGAGAGGCACACAAGCGCUGCUGGGAUCCUUGCCCUUAAAUCUCCUUGUUUGCAGGGCAGGAUAACGCCUACCUGCCAGGCAGGAUUACUGCCUGCAGCACUUUGGGAUCGCUGGGUGCCUGGUGCCGCCGGUGAAAAGUGCAAGCUUCAGAUUGUCUUGCACAUGGCGUGCUGCAGACAGCACAGCCGCCGGGCCCCGCGGCGCUGAGCACCGCCGCAACCGACCUCGCAUUUCUGUGACAAAAUUUAUAGCACAAACCGAUCUGUGAGAGCGGCUGCUCCCUCCCUCCCGGCUUCUUUGCUUCGGGGUGCUGCGACUCAGAGGCUGGAAUAAAGGAGCAGCAUCAGGGUAGAAAGCUUGGGUUUGGGUCUGCACCGAAACCUUUGCUUUAUUCCUUAAAUUGCGGCUUCUGAAGAGAAAAAUGGUCUGUUCUGCCCGGACUGCUGGAGUCAGACGCACAUGGAUGCGUUGCUCCCAGUCAGUUGCCCAUCUCUCCCAGUAGAUGAUGCUAAAGCGCGAUUGUUUUGAGCAGUUUUGAGGGAGUGGAAGAGUUCGUGGGGAAACCCGAUGUGGUGGGAAGGCUCCCGGGGCUCGGUGCCGCAACGUGCAGCAGGUACCCUGAAAAACCUGGAGUCCAAUCUGCUCCCGUUGUAUUUACAGCAGCUGCAAGAGUAAUGGGGUUAGACCUUCCGCAGGUUUUUAUGAUUUUCAGGCAGACGGUUUUGCAGCAGACUGACGUGUUUACGUGCUUUUCAGCAGACUGACGUGUUUACAUGCCUCGGUGUUUCUGCACUUAGGCAGCUAAAACACAAUACCAGCAUCACGCUGCCUCGUCAUGCCAUUCCUUCACUCUUGUCAUUAAGCUCUGCUUAAACGAGAGAGAUUUGUUGGGACUUUGCUAAGUUUGAGCUUCAGUGUGGUUUCCCCCCCUUUCUUUCCCUAACAUAUUACUAACUGCUGCUCGUUGCAGUCAGACCCACUCAGGGCAAAUCGUUUUGAAGCUAAUAUUCAACAAGGGCUGUAGCUUUCUGGUUGCUUUUGAAACGUGCACUGACAUUUAUUACCAGAAACGAGGCAGCGUUUUGCCUGUAGAUGCUGCCAAAGUUCAGAUAUGUUUGAGCUCGGGCUGCUCUCUGGAGCCAGGAGAGGAAGUGGUUCUGGAGUGGGAAAUACAGGCUCAGAUAUACAUUUCCCUGGAAUUUAGGAAAAUUAGAGGGAGUUUGGCCUUGUCUUUACUUCCAUUAGGGCUUUUUUGAGUACUUCUAGGGCAGGCAAUAUAAUUCACUCUGAAAUGAAGUUUUAAAGUUCAAAGAUUCAUCUGGAAGUUAUUAAUAAAAACAAUAAAAAUAUAAACUUAAACCCAGUACAUUUUAGCGAGGAGAAAUUGUCUGUAUUUUUUUUUCAGUUGGAUACUUCUGCAUUUCUAUAGCUGAAAAAUAUAUUAUUUUCCUUUUAGGAAAAAAAAAAAAAGGCAAGUUAUUAGUCUCUUUACGAGACUUCUGAGGUCUGCAGUAAAGAUGUGCACAUCCACCCCUUGGUUCUCCAUGUCCAAGCUGUCUUCCACUCUCUGAGUUAGGAAACAAAAACAAGGUCCCUGUCCUCACAGACAACUUAGAACAAAGCAUAUUUUGGGAAAAGGAUGUACAAAACAAUGAAACAAUCCAACGUGGGACCCAUACAGAUACGUGGAGGGGCUCAGAGAAGGAGUCUGUCGAUUCCUCAAGUGCCUGCUCUGCUGGACCAUUAUUUCUUCUAUAUUAAUACACUCAUCAAUUAUACACCAGGGCUACGUGACGUAGCCCCCCUCCCCUUCCUACAUUCCUGUAUGCUAACAUAAGGCACGCUGUCAGAGGUUCAGCACCGAUGUUGCCUUGUCCCUGACUGAUACGCUCCACUGGGUCAGGAGUAUGUCCCGGGACAGUCAGGAAUGCAGCAAGAUAUAUGGGCAGGUUUUUUUCUUCAAAGCUCUUGGACGAGAAUCAAAUUGCCUGAAGGAAACUUUUAAGAGCCUUUUUUUGUCUCUUUUAAGAAAAGAGAUAACUGCAAGUACAGUGGGUAAUAUUUGCACUAUCUUGCCACUGCCUGUAUUUGGUUUUCUUGGAGAUGUACUGCCUAUUCAGCACAUGCUGCAAGCAGCCACUGCAGAGAUGUUUUGUAUUCCCCGCUCAUUCACACCACACUGGGCUUUCUCCUUCACUCACUUUGGAAAAAGGUUUAUCACUGGGAGUGGGACAGAUGGAAGUAAGUCCUACAAAAGGCAACGAGUAGGGUGAACUUGGUUGUAUGUGGGCCUUAGGGUGACAGAUGAGGUGGAGACCAACUGAUGUGGCUGUGGGGCAGGGAAGUUUGCUGAUGGCAAACUGUAUGGGAGCUGGAAAACAGCCUGGUGGGCUCUUGGACCUACUUCUGAACUAAAAGAGUAGUACUGUCCUCCUGGGAUUUCGUCAUUAGGCAGAUGAUGGCAAGGUAUCCUUAGGCAGAAUGGAUGGCAAAGGUGAGAUUUGUGGAGAAACUCCAGGAGAAGGUUCAAGAAUUACAUCAACGGGAGAUGAAUGUGAAGGACAGCAUGAGAAACCUGGCACUGUUGUGCUCUUUCUACCCCAAGUCAGGCAAAAUAUGAAACUCAGUAUGUAGGAGCAAAACGGGAUGUUUCUCAGUUGUCAGUGAGUCCCAGUAUCUUCUAGAAGUGGGGUUGUUAUUUAAAAAAGGACGGCAAGAGCUUACUUCGCUUUGGACUUCUUCACUGUUCGAUGAGAGUACUCAGAAAAGGAGGAUAAAUAGGGCUGAUGAAGGCUGUAAAGCAGCUAAAAGCAAUCACCGAAUGAAUUACUUCAGAGCUGUAUGCUGUUAUUAGAAUAAGUGUAAGGUACUAUCCUUUUAAAAAUGGCCAAAGAAAAUAAAAUGGGAUCCUCCAGGCAAUAGUAUUCUGACCUCA